rnacentral:sRNA from 1 species
GGAUCCGGCCUUUCAGGCAUCCUCUCCUAAAAACUUUCAUGGCCGAUCCGCCUCGCGGGUCGGCCCUUUUUUUGCUUUCC